CUUUAAAUCAGUCUCCUCUCAGACUGGAGUUUUAAACGUGAAACUUAUGCAGCAAACAUUUAAACAGCAGCCCUGUUCCUACUACUCUACAGUACUCUCUGACCUUCCACCCCCAUCAUGACCCUUCCUUGCCCUCUGUCAGUGUAUUAUUACUUCCUGUUGCUACUAUAAUAAAUUACCACAAACUUCAUGGCUAAAAACAACAUAAAUUUAUUAUCUUACACUUCUGAAAAUCAGAAGUCUGAAAUCAUCCAUUUUUCAGCUUCCAGAAGCCAUGGGCAUUCCUUGGCUCAUGGCCCCUUCCUCCAUCUUCAAAGCCAGCACAUAGCUUCUUCAAACCUCUCUUUCGGUGUCUGACCCCUGCUUCACAUUGCCUGCUUUAAUUCUAACCCUGCUGUUUCUCCCUUAUGUGGACUCUGUAAAUAGAUUAGGCCCACCUGGAUAAUCCAGGAUAAUGUCCCCAUCUUAAAUCCUUAACUUAAUCACACCUGCAAAGUCCAUGUAAGGUAACAUCUUCACAGAUCCCAAUGAUUAGGACGUGGACAUCUCUGGGGGAUCACAAUUCAGUAUACUGGAACAGGCAGUCUUCUCCAGUGGCCUCUUGUUUUCCUUGAAGAUCAGUGCUGCACAGAGUACACUGCACACUGAUAUGCCAAGGUUUGCUGCAGAGAAAGGAGAAUAUUUUAAAAUCUUAUUUUCGGAUUUUCUGCCUACAUCCUGUCUGGAAAUAUUAAUGCCAAAUUUUGGUUGUUCUGACUCCUCAAAAUAUGAUGUGUGAGUACAGGGCCACUGGAGUGUCAUGUAGGCCAGACAGAUCCACAGCUGACUCAGCCUCCAAUCAAGAGUGUUUCCCUAUGGUAACACAGUUGCUGCUUCAGGGCUGGUCUCUGCCAGCCUUUCUUUUAAAAAACAAACAGACCACAGAUAUAAACAGAAAAAACCCUCCUGAACUGAGAACUUGUUAUAUUACCCAAAGCAAAGCCUCCUGAACAUCUCUUUACCAAGAGAAGGGUGGAAGAUGAAAGCCAGAGUCAUUCCUAGGAGAAGCAGCAGCAGAAACCAAUGUGAAAUUGGACUUCUACUUUAAGACUGGAGGAACACCGUGGUAGCCUUAUGACUUACAGAAGGCAACACAGGCCCAGCAUUUCCCAGCUCCC
ensembl:lncRNA